rnacentral:rRNA from 1 species
UACGAAGGGGGCUAGCGUUGCUCGGAAUCACUGGGCGUAAAGGAUGCGUAGGCGGGUCUUUAAGUCAGGGGUGAAAUCCUGGAGCUCAACUCCAGAACUGCCUUUGAUACUGGAGAUCUUGAGUCCGGGAGAGGUGAGUGGAACUGCGAGUGUAGAGGUGAAAUUCGUAGAUAUUCGCAAGAACACCAGUGGCGAAGGCGGCUCACUGGCCCGGUACUGACGCUGAGGUGCGAAAGCGUGGGGAGCAAACAGGG